AUGUAAGGCUGAAAUUCUGGGAC
rnacentral:piRNA from 1 species